ACGGAGGAUGCAAGCGUUAUCCGGAUUUAUUGGGUUUAAAGGGUGCGCAGGUUGUUUUAUAAGUCAGUGGUGAAAGUCUGCCGCUUAACGGAAGGAUUGCCAUUGAUACUAUAGGACUUGAGUAUGGAUGAGGUAGGCGGAAUGUGUAGUGUAGCGGUGAAAUGCAUAGAUAUUACACAGAACACCGAUUGCGAAGGCAGCUUACUAGGCCAUUACUGACGCUGAGGCACGAAAGCGUGGGGAUCAAACAG
rnacentral:rRNA from 1 species